GCCGAGGUAACUCAGCUUGGUUAGAGUGCCAGACUCAUAAUCUGGAAGCCGCGAGUUCAAAUCUCGCCCUCGGCA
rnacentral:tRNA from 1 species